GACGAACGCUGGCGGCGUGCUUAGCACAUGCAAGUCGAACGAUGAACCCGGAGCUUGCUCCGGUGGAUUAGUGGCGAACGGGUGAGUAACACGUGAGUAACCUGCCCUUGACUCUGGGAUAACUGCGGGAAACUGUAGCUAAUACCGGAUACGACCCUCGGCGGCAUCGCCAGGGGGUGGAAAGAAUUUCGGUCAAGGAUGGACUCGCGGCCUAUCAGCUAGUUGGUGAGGUAACGGCUCACCAAGGCGACGACGGGUAGCCGGCCUGAGAGGGUGACCGGCCACACUGGGACUGAGACACGGCCCAGACUCCUACGGGAGGCAGCAGUGGGGAAUAUUGCACAAUGGGCGCAAGCUUGGUGCAGCAACGCCGCGUGAGGGAUGACGGCCUUCGGGUUGUAAACCUCUUUUAGUAGGGAAGAAGCGAAAGUGACGGUACCUGCAGAAAAAGCACCGGCUAACUACGUGCCAGCCGCCGCCGUAA
rnacentral:rRNA from 1 species